UACGUAGGUGGCGAGCGUUGUCCGGAUUUACUGGGCGUAAAGAGCGCGCAGGCGGUCGUGCAAGUCGCGUGUGAAAGCCCCCGGCUCAACUGGGGAGGGUCACGCGAUACUGCUCGACUCGAAGGCAGGAGAGGGAAGUGGAAUUCCCGGUGUAGUGGUGAAAUGCGUAGAUAUCGGGAGGAACACCAGUGGCGAAGGCGACCUCCUGGCCUGUUCUUGACGCUGAGGCGCGAAAGCUAGGGUAGCAAACGGG
rnacentral:rRNA from 1 species